rnacentral:lncRNA from 1 species
GCUUCCCAUGCAUCAAGAUAACAAAUUAAAUCAAAGAUCAAAUUUUGUUUGGUAUAUAUAUAUUACUUUCCAUCCUGUCUGAAUGAAAUUAAGAAAGAAUAAUAUGUGUAACCUAUUUAUUUCCAUCUUCGUUUCUUCACAGGAUCUGGUGAUGCCCAUUACUGUUUCAUUAGAUUCUGAAUUUUGGUAUGUUUGAGUCAGAGAAGGAAGCCAAGAAAGAAGUUUUCACGAAGUAUCGAGUCCAGUGGAGUGGAGUUCUUGAUACUCUCACCAAAGGUGUAGUUUCUUUUUCUGUAUUCCACCAUUACUUAACCUUUUGCGACUCGCAGGAACUGUUAUUCAAGGAUUCAUUUCGCCAGGACGUAUUCAAAAAUAAUUGCCUAAAAUGAUGUGAGGAUCAGUUUACAAACUCGACAACUUCCUACGUGUUGUAAGUUCUGAGCUCGUGGAUUCUCGGUGGAAGGGUAAGUGUGUUUUUGCGUUAAGGUAUUUGUAUUCCUUUAAAGACCAAAAAAUAUGUUAAAAAGUUUUGGAUUCCUGAUGUCAACUUCUGACUUUAGAACUGAAGCAGACCCACUGAUAUGUAGUGUUCUUAGAGUAAGGAACUUCGAGAUUCGAGUUUGAUUCUGUCUCGAAUGAGAUAAUACAUAUUCUAUCUAAUUUGAUGAAAUUUCAAAAUUGUUUUUUUUUUUAUCUUGGAGAGUCAUAGGAAGAAAGGGCUGAAUCGACUGUGACUGUUAAUUGAGAUACUACAAGUUACAAUUGUGAGUAAAAAUGUGGUUGCCUACUUUGAGCUCAGGCUCAAUUGAGGGAGUGAAGAGAAGAGGGGAGAUGCCGUUACACAGGUUCAUCUCAAUGUCUAUGAUAUAACGCAUGUGAACAACUACCUCUGUUGGUCUGGCAUAAUUCCAUUCUGGAAUAUACAGUAUGUUUAUUCUCUUUCUCUUCAUAACUCUUCUCUCUUAUAUAACUUAGUUAUUUGAUGAAAACCAUUUUUAUGAGUCUGUAUAUCAUGGACCAUUUUUAUU